UACGUAGGGGGCAAGCGUUGUCCGGAUUUAUUGGGCGUAAAGAGCGUGUAGGCGGCCUGAAAGGUCAGCUGUGAAAACUCGAGGCUCAACCUCGAGACGUCGGUUGAAACCAUCUGGCUAGAGUCCGGAAGAGGAGUGUGGAAUUCCCGGUGUAGCGGUGAAAUGCGCAGAUAUCGGGAGGAACACCAGUGGCGAAGGCGGCCUUCUGGCUCACAACUGACGCUGUAGCGCGAAAGCGUGGGGAGCGAACGGG
rnacentral:rRNA from 1 species